rnacentral:rRNA from 1 species
UACGUAGGUGGCAAGCGUUGUCCGGAUUUAUUGGGUUUAAAGGGUGCGUAGGCGGCUUUGUAAGUCAGUGGUGAAAUAUGGCAGCUCAACUGUCAAGGUGCCAUUGAUACUGCAGAGCUUGAGUGCAGAUGAGGUAGGCGGAAUUGACGGUGUAGCGGUGAAAUGCUUAGAUAUCGUCAAGAACACCUAUAGCGAAGGCAGCUUACUAGGCUGUAACUGACGCUGAGGCACGAAAGUGUGGGGAUCAAACAGG